UGGAAGCCAGGCGUGCUGGGAACAUCUGUAGCUACAGCUCUCUGAAAGGCUAAGGCAGGAGACUAUCAAGUUCGAGGCGAGCCUGGGCUACAUUGUGCGAUGAGGUAUCAAAACAAUUUUAGUUGCACCAAGAGGAAGUUUGAGUCUCGUUUUCUCUUUCUGUUGUGAUGAAGUCGGCACUGUGAGUCGCGUGUCUUGGUAAAAUCCUUAUAAUUUUCUCAAAUGCAAGCAUGAAUGGGCCGGCGAGAGGAGAGAUUUUGGGACUCAGCUCUCUCAUCCCACCUUACUGAGUCAGGGUCUGUCCUGUGGUCUCUGAUGAAGUGAAGCUCAGUUUUCCAGGUAGCUGGCCUAAGAGCUUUCAGCCAGCUCUGUCACCAGCUCCCAUCUUCCAACCUGAACUUCGUUCCGGAAUUACGUCACGGUCUUACUUAGGACACCGUUGAAACAAAGCAGGAUACAAGACGUGGUGGGGCAAGCCCAUGAUCCCGGCUCUUUGGCGGCUGAGGCAAUAGGAUAACGAGUUUGAGACAAGCCUGAGUUAUUUUGUGAGUUCUAUAUUUACACAGUAAGACCCUGCCUCAAAAUAAAUACAGGAAGAGAGGAAGGAAGAAAAUGAGAAUGAGUUGUGGGUGGUGGUGGUGGUGAGAGCAUUUUUCUCUGGAGACUGUGUGGCUUGCUCUGGUCACAAGAGGGCACUGUUUCUAUAGCUUGCAACAGUCUUGCAACCGAUGUCUGUGGAACUCAGGAAUGGGAGACAAGAAGUUUGCUGUGACUCCCAGAGUCUGGUUUCGGCAGCGAAGCCCAUUUCAGUGCUCUAGACUGUAUCUGGAGCCUCUCUGCAGGGCGUCUGCGCAGAGACAGGACCAGUAUAUGAAAGCAUCAGUUUCAGGGUUUAAACUAGAGCACAAGAUGAAUGACCUGGAGUACUUCUUGGUUUAGAAGGGAAGUAUUGGAGCUGCGGGGAUGGCUCAGCAGCACACUUGUGGCUCCGGCAGAGAACUCAAGCUUGAUUCCCAGCACCCACAUGGAGGGUUUGAGAGAAUCUGAUAACCUCUUCUGGCUUCUGCAGGCACUACAUGCACAAGGUAUUCUGACAUAGGUAGUCAAGCCACUCAUAAACAUAAAUAUAAAUAAACCUUUAAAAAUGGAAAUAUCCCAUGAUGCUCUGGGAUCCAUCUGAAGCACCCGCUCCCUCAGACCUGCCAGGGACUCAGAACAUACAGAGCCAGUGAACUCAACCGUGGCUAAGCAAGUGAGUGAGUUGUGCUCGACUGCACGGAUCUAACGGGCCUAAAGAAACCAAAAGGGAACUCAAAUUGGUAGAGGCAAGUCUGGACUCAAAAUGGAGGGCUGUGAUAAAGGAACCAGAACAAUUGAGAAAGCUGUUUAUUGGUGGUCUGAGCUUCGAAGCCACAAAUAAUAACUUAAGAGAACGUUUUGAGAAAUGGGGCACUGUUACAGACUGUGUGGUAACGAGGGAUCCCCCAAAUGGAAUGUUCCAGAGGCUUCGAACUUGUGACCUUCUCUUGUGUUGAAGGGUGGAUACUGCGAUGAAUGCUCCACCACACAAAGCUGAUGGUUGUGGUGGAACCGAGGAGCCAUUUCUAGAGAGUCCAAAAAGCCCUGGUGCUCGCUGAACAGUGAAGAAAAACUUUGUAGUAUAAAAGAAAAUACUGAAGAGUAUAAUCGAAAAGACUACUUUGAAAAGUAUGGCAGAAACCAUCCAUGUUAUAGAAGUCAGACAGAGUGGGGAAAAAGAGAGGAUAUGCUUUUGUGACUUUUGAUGAUCAUGACACAGAUGAUAAAAUUGUUGAGAAAUACUGCACUGCCAAUGGGUAUAAUUGUGAAGUGAAAAGGGCUUGCUUCUAAACAAGAGAUGCAUCUGCUGACCACAGAGAGACCACAGAGAGGUCUCUCAAUGGACGUAAUUGUGAAGAAGAGGUGCAGUCUGCUGGAGCGUAGAGAGGGUGGGGAGGUGGAUAUGGCAGCUUAUGGGUCACGGAGGAAACUUUGGAGCAUCCAACAAGCGGGCUAGCCUGCCAUCAGCCAGGGGUUCUCUGCCUGCCUCCCAUCUUGCCGUGCGAGCCCUGGAAUUACAAAUGUGUGCUACCCUGUCUGGCUUUUAUAAGGGUUCUAGGCCUCUGAACUCAAGUCUUCAUGCUUGCAAGCCUAGGAUCUUACCCACUGAGCCGUCUCCCCAGCCCCCAUAGACCUCUUGAGUCUCCUUAUAAAGCGAAACUCAUGGAAUUCAAUGACUGGGCUGGGAGGAGUUAGGGACUGACCCUAGAAAACAAACAAGCUUUUGGUUUGGUUUGGCUGCACUUAUGAAGUCCACUGUCACCCAGCAGUGACCCCAUCCUGGUGUGGAAAGAGCUAGAACAGUAAGGGGUUGCCACCCAUGGAGAGCCACUAAUCUGAAGGCCUUGGUGGAGAGCACGCUCACUUCCCCAGAUGCAAUCCUGCCUGUGUCGAAAGGGGCCUUGGGUCACCCUUUCUCUUUGUGCAACCAGGUCAAGAGAACAGUUUCUGCUUCUUCAUCUGCUUCUUUCUUGAAAAACAAAAAGUUAAAGAUUUUACUUGUUUUACUUUAUGUGUAUGAGUGUUUUGCCUGUGUGUAUGUCUGGGCACCACAGGCAUACAUGGAGGUCAGAAGAGGGUGUCGUAUCCCUUAAAACUGGAGUUAUGGCAUCAACGGGAGUUCUGGGGACAAGAGCAAUAAACGCUUUUAAUCACCGA